rnacentral:rRNA from 1 species
AGCAGCCGCCACGGUAAUACGAAGGGGGCUAGCGUUGUUCGGAUUUACUGGGCGUAAAGCGCACGUAGGCGGACUUUUAAGUCAGGGGUGAAAUCCCGGGGCUCAACCCCGGAACUGCCUUUGAUACUGGAAGUCUUGAGUAUGGUAGAGGUGAGUGGAAUUCCGAGUGUAGAGGUGAAAUUCGUAGAUAUUCGGAGGAACACCAGUGGCGAAGGCGGCUCACUGGACCAUUACUGACGCUGAGGUGCGAAAGCGUGGGGAGCAAACAGGAUUAGAUACCCCAGUAGUCCCUGUCUCUUAUAC